GACAGAGGGUGCAAACGUUGCUCGGAAUUACUGGGCGUAAAGGGCGUGUAGGCGGGACGGCAAGUCGGGCGUGAAAGCCCCAGGCUCAACCUGGGAACUGCACUCGAAACUGCCUUUCUUGAGUGCCGGAGAGGAAAGCGGAAUUCCUGGUGUAGAGGUGAAAUUCGUAGAUAUCAGGAGGAACACCAGUGGCGAAGGCGGCUUUCUGGACGGUAACUGACGCUGAGACGCGAAAGCGUGGGGAGCAAACAGG
rnacentral:rRNA from 1 species